rnacentral:lncRNA from 1 species
UCUCCAUAGACCACCUCCUGUCUCCAUGGCACUUGCCACAGCUUUCGUUUAUAACUUUCUGUGAUUAGUUGAUGAGUAUCUAUGCGUUACACAGUGAGCAUAUAAUGAAUGCUUGAUAACUCCACUGUAAACUUAUAUCUGCAGCUCCUACCUUUGAUUUCCCUGCACAGAGUCUAAGGCUUAGGGAAUCUGAUUCGUGAUUGGAUAUAUUAAUAACUCUUCAAUCUGAAAAGCAAAUAAAGGAUAGCAUAUUAGUUACUUGCUACUGUGAUAAAAUACCAUGACCAAAAAUUACUUAUAGAUGGAUGCAUAAUGAUGAGGAGGCAUGGCACCAGGUAGCCAGAGCAGGAAGCAGAGAGAGCAAUGUAGAACUAAAGCAAGGUUCUACACUCAAAAUCUUCCCCAGUGGUGAACUUCCUCCAGCAAACUUCCACUUUUAAAGGUUUCAUAGCCCCCUUUAACACUGCUACCAACUGGAGUCAAGUAUACGAAUAUGGAAGCCUGUGGAGAAUAUUUCUCAUCCAGACUGCUGCAAAUACAUGAAAUCUUAAAAAAAAAAAAAAAAAAAAAAAAAAAAAACAGGUUCACUAGAAUUGCAAGCUUGAUAUUUUUAGCAAUUUGCUGUAUAACCUUGGUCAAAUAUUACAAUCUUUUAUAGACUUGGUUUCUAACAGUUAAUAAUUGUUGUUAUAUACAUAUUUAUUAUGCUUAUUAUCAGGUUCAAUUAGAAAAUGUCUGUUAACAUAAUGAAGACCAUAAAAUCAUACCACUAUUAUUUUAUUAGUUCUGUGUUAAUAUUGAAUUAAUCAACAUUUUAAUUUCCCCUGAGGGCAAUUUGUAAUGACCUCGCCCAAUGCACUGAAUAGAGUUGCAUAGGUCUUCUUCUAUUACUAAGCAUAUCUGUUGUUGUUGUUUUUUUCUCAUUUGUAUGAUCUAAUAGUAGGCAGAUAAAACAUAAGAGAGUAAGGGCUUAUUUUGGUUCACCCUCCAGAGAAUGCUGACAGGGAAGACACAGCAACGGGAAUUUCUCCAUCUUUAUCUCUGGCCAGGAGGCAGACACAGAGGAGUAUCGAUAUUCAUCUGCGUUUCUCCUAAUUCCUCUUUCCUUCAACCUAGAACACCACUGACCAUGGGAUGGUGCCACCAUAUUAAAUGUGUGUCUCAGUCCUCUCUGGAAACUCCUACAAAGACAUGCACAGAAUUGUGUCUUCUAGGUGAUUCCAAAUCCCAUGGACUUGAUAGUUAACUGUCACCUAAGUAUGGCUUUGAAAUAGUUCAGAUCCAGCAGACGUCAUGAACUGAAUUCUAUAUCCUCCUAGAGAAUGCCUCCAGCGUAUCUUUUCUUUAGUAUUUGACCACUCAUAGAAUGCAAUAUGUGAUGGCUCAGCAAGGCAGAGCCUGUAAUAAAAUUAAAGAUGCACAGCAACCACAAGAAAUAUGAAAUGUUGUAUUUCUCUGAAACCAUUUUUUUAAUGAAUGAAAUACUUAAUAAAAUAUUUUUAUCUUGCAGUUAUAUAUUUCUUUAAUUCUGGAAAAGUUAGGAAUUUAUGAAGAAAAAUUUAAUUCUCUGAACUUUUUGGAUUGUUUGCCUAUCUUAUUAUUAUCUUCUAAUAUCUUGCUUUUAAAUGCCUUCAGCAUUUAGAUACCUCUUGUAUCUAAAAUAUCAAUGAAAGGCCUAGAUUGUGCCAGAUUCUAGAAAGAUAUAAAAGAUUUUUAUAGUCAUGUGUCACUUAAAUGGGGAACUAGUCUAAGAUUGUUAUCAUUGUCCAAAUAUCACAGUGUGUUUACAUAUUCCUGGAUGGUUUAUGUCAUGCACUAGCUAUUUUUCCAUAAUAUAUGGAGAUUCAGUAACCAUGAACUGUAUGAAGCUGCACCUUCAUACACACAUGAGAUACUGUUAUAGUGGAAGCAUGUUUGAUAAAGAUAAAAAAAUAUACUAUAAAAAUAAUGUUUAAAGAUUCCCAUAAUAAUUACAUAAUUCAAAAACACCAUUUUGUCAUGUAUUGUGUACAAUAUGCUUUGUAUAUGGUACGUGCAGUAUUGCACACUGCCAGAAAAAUCAUUAUGUUUAUACUGGUAUGAGCACAAACAUGUAAAUAACAAAUGCUGUUAUUGUAGCCCUGACACCCCUGGAAAAUGGAAAAUUUUGAGAUCUAUAGUAUCAGUGAUUUGUGCAGUUUCUCACUGAGCAAAGUUUCUUUCUUAGUAUUAGACUAUAGAUCAUGAAUAGU